GCCAGCAGCAAUAUCACAACUGCCAGCCCACUGAAGCUAAGCAGGUGUGAGCCUGGUCAGUACCUGGAUGAGAGACCUCCUGGGAAAAACUAAGGUUGCUGCUAGAA
rnacentral:rRNA from 1 species